UGUAUUUACAUAUUAAAAAUAUAGUUGGUUCAUAUCAGCCAGGGACAAAGUAACUCCUUGUUUAUCCCAGCUUGGCUUUUGGUUUGUGCCCAUGUCUGGUUCAUGCCCUGGAAACAUGA